rnacentral:rRNA from 1 species
UACGAAGGGGGCUAGCGUUGCUCCGAAUCACUGGGCGUAAAGGGUGCGUAGGCGGGUCUUUAAGUCAGGGGUGAAAUCCUGGAGCUCAACUCCAGAACUGCCUUUGAUACUGAGGAUCUUGAGUUCGGGAGAGGUGAGUGGAACUGCGAGUGUAGAGGUGAAAUUCGUAGAUAUUCGCAAGAACACCAGUGGCGAAGGCGGCUCACUGGCCCGAUACUGACGCUGAGGCACGAAAGCGUGGGGAGCAAACAGG